UAGGGAAUAUUGGUCAAUGGGCGGGAGCCUGAACCAGCCAUGCCGCGUGCGGGAAGAAGGCCCUCUGGGUUGUAAACCGCUUUUGGGAGGGGACAAAAGACUGGUGCGCCAGGGAUUGAGUGUACCUCCAGAAUAAGCACCGGCUAACUCCGUGCCAGCAGCCGCGGUAAUACGGAGGGUGCGAGCGUUGUCCGGAUUUAUUGGGUUUAAAGGGUGCGUAGGCGGCCUGAUAAGUCAGCGGUGAAAUUCCCGGGCUCAACUCGGGGCGUGCCGUUGAUACUGUUUGGCUUGGGUCGGAUCUGGGCAGGCGGAAUGGAAGGUGUAGCGGUGAAAUGCAUAGAUAUCUACCAGAACGCCGAAAGCGAAGGCAGCCUGCUGGGUCCGUACCGACGCUGAUGCA
rnacentral:rRNA from 1 species